UUAUGUAAUUGGAUAUUCGAUUGAUGACUUGGAGGGUAUUAUCCCUACCACUUGCAUUGUCUCUUUGGUUGAGUGCCUUUUCAGGUUUUUGCUUGUGCACGAAUCAAUACAUGUUGACCAGGUUCGAGGUGACAUUCCUUGGGACCCUGGUGGACUCAGAGCAUGGGGAUGAGGAGAAGCAAGGGGGCACACACGAAGAAGAGUGAAGCUGGAGCAUCCAUGAGGAAGCAAAAGGAGAAGAGCUGCAGCUUAGAGAGUGAUCAAGCGAGUGCUACAUCAUCAAAGCCCGAAAAGUGCGAAAAGGCACUAUAAACUUCAAGAUCCGGACUAGUGGCUAAGAGAAUGAAGAGGAGGAGGAAGAAUGGACUUGUGCGAGAAGAAAAGAAGUUACCAGGGGCAAGCUAAAGAAGUAGGAGGAUCUUCUUGUGAAGAAAGAAGAGAAGUAAGAUGGCCAAAUCACAAAGUGCAGAUGAGAGGAGGGGAACAAAAUCCCUAGGCGCUGGAGGGAUCCAAUGGGGCCUGGCACAUCUCCCCUCUCGUCUCCUUCUCCACCUUCGGCCGCCGCCACAGCCAGGCCGGCGUGGGGCGCGCCACCGCUCCACCGCGCCCUCCGUCCACCAGCACCUCCAUAUACCACCAUCCAUCCAAUCCAUCACCCCCUCGCGCCGCUGCACCAUCCAUCAGCGCCACCCCUUCACCACCAUCGCUCGCGCGCCCUACCAGACCAAGGGUCUGGUGCCCCAGGCGACCUUGCCUUCUGCCGCUGCCUUCUUCCUCCCCUGCCUCGCUGCUUCCCUUCUUCUUCCCCUCGCUGCUCCUCCACCUCUCUCCUCCUCCUUCAAUCCCUUUGUUGCUGCUCUUCUUCUACCGCGCCCCCUUGCUGAUCUCUCACGCUGCUACUCCUCCCCUCAUCAUGUUGUUGUUUCCUUCUUCUCCUGUCGCUGCUCUCUUCUUCCUUUUCCUCUAGUUGAUGCUCCUAAUCUUCUCUGAACCCCAGCCUGCUGCUCUUUCUUCUCCCUACCUCGCUGCUGCUCUGCCCUCUGCUGCUGUACCUCUCCUUCUCCAACUCGCCCCCUGCUGAUCUUCUCCAUCACCUACAUCAUAUACAGCUGCAAGCCUGAAGAUUGACUGGGAAUUAAUCUUUGAAUCUCUCCCUUCUCUUGCUACUGUACUCUGAAUUUUCUAUAAUAGGAGUGGUGUAGGACUUGUAAGGUUCAGAUUUUGAUAAGUGUUUGCAACCAAUUAGUUUGUUCAGUUCA